rnacentral:misc_RNA from 1 species
CUAAGGAAUACGUCUCCUGCGACGGAGACAUACUGGAAGCAUAAGCUUCCAUACACAAACAUCACUCGUUGUCAGUUUUGAAAGGACAAUUCCUUUCACUUGUUUGGCGACUAUGGCGGAGGGGUUCCACGCGUUCCCAUCUCGAACACGACCGUUAAGCCCUCCAGCGCCGAUGGUACUUGGACCGCAGGGUCCUGGGAGAGCAGGACGUUGCCAAGCAAGUCUGCGACACGCAGAUUGCCGCCCUUCCCGGCGGCGAUGCGGGCCCUUAGCUCAGCUGGUUAGAGCGCACCCCUGAUAAGGGUGAGGUCGGUGGUUCGAGUCCACUAGGGCCCACCAUAUACGCUUUUAUAUCCCGUAUGGGGCCAUAGCUCAGCUGGGAGAGCGCCUGCCUUGCAAGCAGGAGGUCAGGAGUUCGAUCCUCCUUGGCUCCACCAUAAGAAUCAUUUUUUGAUUUUGUACCUUGAAAACUGAAUCGCGAAAGUAAAGCUUAGAAUCAUCCUUUAAUUUUAAAUAGGAGUUAAAAAGUUUACUUUUCAGCACCGAGAAGGUGAAGUAGAAGGAAACUUUUUGACCACCUAGCUA